AAAGACUUGACGGUACUUCACACCAACCUAGAGGAGCCUGUCCAGUAACCGAUACUCCACGAUUAACCCCACCCACCCUAGCCUAAACAGUCUAUAUACCGCCGUCGCCAGCUCACCUUGUGAAAGAAAUAAAGUGAGCAAAAUAAGCCACCCUUAACACGACAGGUCGAGGUGUAACUAAUGAGUGGGUAGAAGAUGGGCUACACUUUCUCACACAGAAAACACGGAUAAACCAUGAAACUAGAAACUGAAGGCGGAUUUAGCAGUACGAUAAGAACAUAAUACUUA
rnacentral:rRNA from 1 species